rnacentral:rRNA from 1 species
AGAGUUUGAUCAUGGCUCAGAACGAACGCUGGCGGCGUGCCUAACACAUGCAAGUCCGACGUGAAAGGGGAGCAAUCCCCCGGUAGGGUGGCAAACGGGUGAGUAAGACAUGGGUGAUCUGCCCUGGAGAUGGGGAUAUCCCUCCGAAAGGGGGGGCAAUACCGAAUAGUAUCCGGUUCCUUGAAGGGGACCGGGGAAAGGGAGGCCUCUGGUACAAGCUUCCGCUCCUGGAUGAGCCCAUGGCCCAUCAGCUAGUUGGUAGGGUAAAGGCCUACCAAGGCGACGACGGGUAGCUGGUCUGAGAGGACAACCAGCCACACUGGCACUGAGACACGGGCCAGACUCCUACGGGAGGCAGCAGUGAGGAAUAUUGCGCAAUGGGGGCAACCCUGACGCAGCAACGCCGCGUGUGGGAAGAAGGCUUUCGGGUUGUAAACCACUUUUGCCCGGGACGAAAGGGGGGGCCUGAAUAAGGUCACCCGAUGACGGUACCGGGAGAAUAAGCCACGGCUAACUCUGUGCCAGCAGCCGCGGUAAGACAGAGGUGGCAAGCGUUGUUCGGAGUUACUGGGCGUAAAGAGUCUGUAGGUGGUCUGUCAAGUCUUUGGUGAAAGGCCGUGGCUUAACCAUGGGAAUGCCAAAGAGACUGGCAGACUGGGGGGCUGGGAGAGGGAAGCGGAAUUUCUGGUGUAGCGGUGAAAUGCGUAGAUAUCAGAAGGAAGGCCGGUGGCGAAGGCGGCUUCCUGGAACAGACCUGACACUGAGAGACGAAAGCGUGGGGAGCAAACAGGAUUAGAUACCCUGGUAGUCCACGCCCUAAACGAUGGGUACUAAGUGUGGGAGGGUUAAACCUCCCGUGCCGCAGCCAACGCAGUAAGUACCCCGCCUGGGGAGUACGGCCGCAAGGUUGAAACUCAAAGGAAUUGACGGGGGCCCGCACAAGCAGUGGAGCAUGUGGUUUAAUUCGACGCAACGCGCAGAACCUUACCAGGACUGGACAGGCACGUGAGCGCCGCGAAAGCGGCGGGCCCUUCGGGGAGCGUGCUCAGGUGCUGCAUGGUUGUCGUCAGCUCGUGUCGUGAGAUGUUGGGUUAAGUCCCGCAACGAGCGCAACCCUUGUCGUGUGUUGCCAGCGGUCCGGCCGGGCACUCACACGAGACUGCCGGUGACAAACCGGAGGAAGGUGGGGAUGACGUCAAAUCCGCAUGGCCUUGAUGUCCUGGGCUACACACGUGCUACAAUGGUCCCGACAACGGGCCGCGACCGCGCGAGCGGGAGCGAAUCCUUCAAACGGGAUCUCAGUUCGGAUUGCAGGCUGCAACUCGCCUGCAUGAAGCCGGAAUUGCUAGUAAUCGCCCAUCAGCAUGGGGCGGUGAAUUCGUUCCCGGGCCUUGUACACACCGCCCGUCACACCACGAGAGUUGGCCACACCCGAAGCCGGUCGGCCGAACCCGUGAGGGACGGUCCCGUCGACGGUGGGGCGGAUGAUUGGGGUGAAGUCGUAACAAGGUAACC